GACGAACGCUGGCGGCGCGCUUAACACAUGCAAGUCGAGCGAAGCGGCGGACGGGUGAGUAACACGUGAGUAACCUGCCUUAGACAUUGGGAUAGCCUCGGGAAACCGGGAUUAAUACCAAAUGGUCUAAGAUGGACUCGCGUCCCAGUAGCUAGUUGGUGAGGUAACGGCCCACCAAGGUGAAGAGGUGUAGCCGGCCUGAGAGGGUGAACGUCCACAUUGGAACGGGGACACGGUCCAAACUCUACGGGAGGCAGCAGGGGGGAAUAUUGCACAAUGGAGGGAACUCUGAUGCAGCGACGCCGCGGGAACGAAGAAGGCUUUCGGGUUGUAAACCUCUUUCGCUAUCGAACGGGUAGGUGGAGAAGAAGCGCCGGCUAACUACGUGCCAGCAGCCGCGGUAAUAC
rnacentral:rRNA from 1 species